UACGGAGGAUGCGAGCGUUAUCCGGAUUUAUUGGGUUUAAAGGGUGCGUAGGCGGAUCGUUAAGUCAGUGGUCAAAUUGAGGGGCUCAACCCCUUCCCGCCAUUGAAACUGGCGAUCUCGAGUGGAAGAGAAGUAUGCGGAAUGCGUGGUGUAGCGGUGAAAUGCAUAGAUAUCACGCAGAACCCCGAUUGCGAAGGCAGCAUGCCGGCUACCGACUGACGCUGAAGCACGAAAGCGUGGGGAUCGAACAGG
rnacentral:rRNA from 1 species